UGCCAGCAGCCGCGGUAAUACGGAAGGUGCAAGCGUUAAUCGGAAUUACUGGGCGUAAAGCGCGCGUAGGCUGUUAUCUAAGUCGGAUGUGAAAUCCUCGGGCUCAACCUGGGAACUGCAUCCGAAACUGAAUAACUAGAGUAUGGGAGAGGUAAGUAGAAUUUCCGGUGUAGCGGUGAAAUGCGUAGAUAUCGGAAGGAAUACCAGUGGCGAAGGCGGCUUACUGGACCAAUACUGACGCUAAGGUGCGAAAGCGUGGGGAGCGAACAGGAUUAGAUA
rnacentral:rRNA from 1 species